ACGAACGCUGGCGGCGUGCUUAACACAUGCAAGUCGAACGGAAAGGCCCUGCUUUUGUGGGGUGCUCGAGUGGCGAACGGGUGAGUAACACGUGAGUAACCUGCCCUUGACUUUGGGAUAACUUCAGGAAACUGGGGCUAAUACCGGAUAGGAGCUCCUGCUGCAUGGUGGGGGUUGGAAAGUUUCGGCGGUUGGGGAUGGACUCGCGGCUUAUCAGCUUGUUGGUGGGGUAGUGGCUUACCAAGGCUUUGACGGGUAGCCGGCCUGAGAGGGUGACCGGCCACAUUGGGACCGAGAUACGGGCCAGACUCCUACGGGAGGCAGCAGUGGGGAAUAUUGCACAAUGGGCGGAAGCCUGAUGCAGCAACGCCGCGUGCGGGAUGACGGCCUUCGGGUUGUAAACCGCUUUCGCCUGUGACGAAGCGUGAGUGACGGUAAUGGGUAAAGAAGCACCGGCUAACUACGUG
rnacentral:rRNA from 1 species